rnacentral:rRNA from 1 species
AUACGGAGGAGGCAAGCGUUGUUCGGAAUUAUUGGGCUUAAAGAGCGUGUAGGCGGCCAGGUAAGUGUCUUGUGAAAUCCCUCGGCUCAACCGAGGAACUGCUCGGCAUACUACUUGGCUUGAGGUCGGUAGAGGUGACUGGAACUCUAGGUGGAGCGGUGAAAUGCGUAGAUAUCUAGAGGAACGCCGGAGGCGAAAGCGGGUCACUGGGCCGAUUCUGACGCUGAGACGCGAAAGCGUGGGUAGCAAACAGGAUUAGAUACCCCAGUAGUCC